rnacentral:rRNA from 1 species
CCUACGGGAGGCAGCAGUGGGGAAUAUUGGACAAUGGGGGGAACCCUGAUCCAGCCAUGCCGCGUGUGUGAAGAAGGCCCUCGGGUUGUAAAGCACUUUCAGUGAGGAAGAACGCCUGGUGGUUAAUACCCAUCAGGAAAGACAUCACUCACAGAAGAAGCACCGGCUAACUCCGUGCCAGCAGCCGCGGUAAUACGGAGGGUGCGAGCGGUAAUCGGAAUUACUGGGCGUAAAGCGCGCGUAGGUGGCUUGAUAAGCCGGUUGUGAAAGCCCCGGGCUCAACCUGGGAACGGCAUCCGGAACUGUGAAGCUAGAGUGCAGGAGAGGAAAGUGGAAUUCCCGGUGUAGCGGUGAAAUGCGUAGAGAUCGGGAGGAAUACCAGUGGCGAAGGCGGCCUUCUGGACUGACACUGACACUGAGGUGCGAAAGCGUGGGUAGCAAACAGGAUUAGAUACCCUAGUAGUC